rnacentral:rRNA from 1 species
UGGCUCAGAUUGAACGCUGGCGGCAUGCUUUACACAUGCAAGUCGAACGGCAGCACGAAAGAGCUUGCUCUUUUGGUGGCGAGUGGCGAACGGGUGAGUAAUACAUUGGAACGUACCGAGUAAUGGGGGAUAACUGUCCGAAAGGAUGGCUAAUACCGCAUACGCUCUGAGGAGGAAAGCGGGGGACCUUCGGGCCUCGCGUUAUUCGAGCGGCCAAUGUCUGAUUAGCUAGUUGGUGGGGUAAAGGCCUACCAAGGCGACGAUCAGUAGUGGGUCUGAGAGGAUGAUCCGCCACACUGGGACUGAGACACGGCCCAGACUCCUACGGGAGGCAGCAGUGGGGAAUUUUGGACAAUGGGCGAAAGCCUGAUCCAGCCAUGCCGCGUGUCUGAAGAAGGCCUUCGGGUUGUAAAGGACUUUUGUCAGGGAAGAAAGGGUUUGGGUUAAUACCCUAAGCUUAUGACGGUACC